rnacentral:tRNA from 1 species
GCCCGGCUAGCUCAAUGGGUAAGUGCAUCAUCACCAUUCUUCAAAUUUCAGAAAUUGAUCUGAUCGCCUUUCAGUUAGAGCUUCGGACUUUUAAUCCGAAGGUUGAGGGUUCGAGUCCCUUGUCGGGCG